ensembl:lncRNA
CAUUGAACAAUGGAUUGACUGGAUCAACUGAUGAAACAUGGACAUCAUUCAUCUGCUCCUGCUCCUACUGUCAUGCAUAAUUCAAGCAGUCCGAGGUCAGGUGACGCUGACACCUGAAACACUAACGGUCCUAAAAGGAAAAGAGGCCCGGUUUACCUGCAGGCCCUCCCUCCCCGAGUGGACCGUUAUGGUGUGGCUGAUGAACGGCAAAUCGGUUCUCACCAUCUCCAAUAAGACGGGUGCCCUGAACACUGUCCACCCAAAUGUGACGGCCGAGCAAAGCGGAGACGGCUGGGUGUUGGUCAUCAACAGGACGGAGAGGCACAACGAGGGCUCAGUGGUCUGUGAUCUCCAGGGUAUUACUACGAAAACAGCAAGCCUGUUUGUACAAGAGACGGGCAGCGUGAAAGUCGUUUGGGACAACAGGUUGGCUUUAAAGGAUUCCUGGGUGCAGUUUGAAUGCCUAACAGCAGGAUGGUACCCUGCGCCCACUGUGCAAUGGCAGGUGAAAGAAAAAGAGGGGAAAGAGACAAAACACAUCAGCAGCAGUGAAACGACCAAACUCAACAUCAUGGCAACGAAGAGCUCAGAUGUGUCUUGUCUGGCGUCCGUGUCUGCCCUGCUCACGCCACUGAAGAGCUGCGCCCGUCUGACAGUGGUUGUAGAGGUGGGGCGGGAGAAGGAGGAAGAUGUCUGCAGCGUGGUGCCCCUGGCAAUAAUGUCCUCCCUCUCUGCUCUUCUGCUGCUCCUCCUGCUCUGUAUCUGCACCGUCCUCUGGCUCAGACGAAGGAGACAAGCACGAGCCGGCACACAGGAGGUAGUAAGGUCCGACCAAUCGGUGAGCGGGAGGAGUUCGGUUGCCGAGGCGACAGCCGGGAAGGUCAACCUGGGAUAUUCUAGUGACGGCCCCACAGAUUGA